rnacentral:lncRNA from 1 species
CGGGUCCUGAUGGGAGGUAAAGAUGACUCCAACUUACCCAGUACAGUGGUCUGGUGGUCCGGUGUCCUCUGCGUCUUUGUAGUGUGGAACCAGAUGGCUGUACAGUGGAGGGUGUGUGUGGGGGGGGGGGGUCCCGUGGAUUGCUGCUGGGGCGUGGGCUGAUUCGGCGCGUUCUGAUUCGGCGCGUUCUGCGCGACUCAGGCCGUUGCUAUGGCGUCCGCAGACCUGCCUGUUUGCAGAGGUCUGAUUAGGCGAGUUCCCAGCGACUCACAAUGUUGCUAUGGCGUCCCAAGGGAGUUAUUUUUAACUGAGGCUCAGCGUUCCUGCUGAGACAAUUUUCUUCUGCCAAGCAUACAACAGGCUCCUUAUCCAGACCACUUUAAAUGAAAUGUUUACGUUUGUAGUGUGAAUCCUCCUCGUUCUAAGCCCACAAGAGGACCGGCUUGUGGUCAGGACUUCUCAGAGGGAACUGUUCAUUUUGUUCCCUGCCACCAGCGCCACAGUUCUCCACCAGCUGAGGCUGAGUCAUUUCCAGCAGAUCCUGGGACACCCAUCACGAGGGUGGGAAGAUCCGGGAGCCCGCACUCUGGCCUGCACUGAAGCUCGGAGCCCCUCUGAAAGAGCCCGGCCCCUGCCUCUCUCUGUCCACUCCCAGCUCCUGGAGGAGGCCCUUUGUCGCAGGAACUUGAGAGGGUCUGGGAGUCAUUUGAAGAGCCUCAAUAGGUUGUGUUGUUAUUAACUCAUAAAUCACUUUUUCCCUCAGAAAAUAAAACUGAAUUUGUGG